AACUUCUUGAUGCGGAAGAACCGG
rnacentral:piRNA from 1 species